rnacentral:misc_RNA from 1 species
UCUCCGUUGGUGAACCAGCGGAGGGAUCAUUACUGAGUGUAAAAACUCCCAACCCUUUUGUGAACCACCUCGUUGCUUCGGGGGCGACCCUGCCGUUCGCGGCGUGGGGCCCCCGGAGCCCAUCAAACCCUGCGUAACUAAGUCGUCGGAGUUUAAACAAAUUAAACAAAACUUUCAACAACGGAUCUCUUGGUUCGGGCAUCGUUGAAGAACGCAGC